rnacentral:rRNA from 1 species
CACCGGUGACAGGUGGUGCAUGGUUGUCGUCAGCUCGUGUCGUGAGAUGUUGGGUUAAGUCCCGCAACGAGCGCAACCCUUACUGUUAGUUGCUACGCAAGAGCACUCUAGCAGGACCGCCGUUGACAAAACGGAGGAAGGUGGGGAUGAUGUCAAAUCAUCAUGCCCCUUAUGACCUGGGCCUCACACGUACUACAAUGGCCGUUAACAGAGGGAAGCAAGACCGCGAGGUGGAGCAAAACCCCAAAAACGGUCUCAGUUCGGAUCGUAGGCUGCAACCCGCCUGCGUGAAGUUGGAAUUGCUAGUAAUCGCGGAUCAGCAUGCCGCGGUGAAUACGUUCCCGGGCCUUGUACACACCGCCCGUCACACCAUGGGAGCCGGUAAUACCCGAAGUCAGUAGCCUAACCGCAAGGGGGGCGCUGCCGAAGGUAGGAUUGGCGACUGGGGUGAAGUCGUAACAAGGUAGCCGUAUCGGAAGGUGCGGCUGGAUCACCUC